AACUUUGCCUCGAGCAACUUGAUUAUCGAAGAAAAAUCGAUUGAAAAGUCCGUCGAAUGUGGAAACGAACCGAACUUCAGUCGGAACGACAGUGUUGGCGGGUGUUGGUGCGUCGAGGAAAGGUGCAUGAUGGAGUCACUAGAUGACCACCACCGGAGCAAAUGCGUGCAGAACAUAGUAAAAGAAAGCCACGGAAGAACAGGAGGAGGGGGAAGAAUCACAGAACAGAGUGGUGCCCCUGGGAGGAGACAUCGAAUGGGAAGACUUGAGCUACAGGAUAAUAACCCGAGCCGUUUCAAUCGCCGGAUGGAGAAGGGAAAGGGAGGAAGAGACAAGACUCGCAGGUAAUGGAGAUUUACGUCAGUUUGAAAGAGUAGGAUGAGUGAAUAUAUUUAGGUGGGAUCUUUGGCUA